CAGUGUGUGUACACAACCACCCUAUAAUGAUAAAAAUCCAGUCUGUCCCUGUGACUUCACACAGACGGAGGCCCCUCCCACAAUAGUUUGAUUGACCGUAGCGUUUCAGCACAGACUGCACUGGUGUCUUACCUCAAACCCGCCCUGAGUGAGCUGUCAUCAGUUGUUUCACCGCCGGAGCAGAUGUAGACAAGAAUGACUCCUAAGCGAUUGAAGAGUUUUGUUGUUGGAUGUAAUAAUGAACAUAGCAGUAGUCAUUUACUCCCUUCAUUUGAGCGGCUGAAGAGGAUUAACGUUAGGUUUUGUUCUGAAGGGAAUGCGCCCUCCAUCUACUUAAAUGCGUCUAUGUUCGCGCGAAUCAUUCGUGAUCCAGCUUCACCUCCAGAAAAAGUGUGCUACAUCUGCAUCUUUUGGAGUCGAUUUCAGCAAAGAGGGUAUUUCGCUUGCUCCACUCCUGUCCUUCUUCAAUCUUCUUCAAAUCAGGCCUGCGCACCUUCGUAAUUUGACAAGCUUUCCGGAUAGCAUGCCCUUGGAAUGAAGGCCGUGGUCCAAGCCGUCAUCAAGGGGAUCAAUGCUGCUCCUGAGAUUGGGCUGCGAGUGGCAAAUAAAUUCCACAGCAAAAACAUCAGUUCCACAGGAGAUGUUGGAGGAACAGCUGCGGGCCAGGGAGGAGGACAAGUGGAGAAUGAUUGAUCACUGGGAGCGGAGAGGCUGUGUACCUCUCACCUUCCCCCUGCGAGGCUCCACGUCUGCCCCUGAUCCCUUACAUCUGCCUGCCCUUAGCAGAGCUGGAGGAGGAGGCCCGGCUGGAUCUACUCACAUGUCCCUGUACUCUGGAAUAGGAGAGACUCUGAAACAUGGGCCAAACCUUAAACUGGGAUGCCAUUACUUUCAUUAUAUGUGUGAAGGAAAUGUUGCUUAUGCCUCUUUUUUUUCCCAGUUAUUUGAGCAAAAUGUGUGAUGGGAGACCUGAAACAUUGUAAAAGACACACUUCUUCAUUGUUGUAGUAAGCUGAUUUUGUACAAUGAUACCACUGCAUUGGAAAGUUCACAAGUUUACUUUA